rnacentral:rRNA from 1 species
CAGUCGAGGGGCAGCAUGGUCUUAGCUUGCUAAGACUGAUGGCGACCGGCGCACCUUUGAGUAACACGUAUCCAACCUGCCGUCUACUCUUGGACAGCCUUCUGAAAGGAAGAUUAAUACAAGAUGGCAUCAUGAGUCCGCAUGUUCACAUGAUUAAAGGUAUUCCGGUAGACGAUGGGGAUGCGUUCCAUUAGAUAGUAGGCGGGGUAACGGCCCACCUAGUCUUCGAUGGAUAGGGGUUCUGAGAGGAAGGUCCCCCACAUUGGAACUGUGACACGGUCCAAACUCCUACGGGAGGCAGCAGUGAGGAAUAUUGGUCAAUGGGCGAGAGCCUGAACCAGCCAAGUAGCGUGAAGGAUGACUGCCCUAUGGGUUGUAAACUUCUUUUAUAAAGGAAUAAAGUCGGGUAUGGAUACCCGUUUGCAUGUACUUUAUGAAUAAGGAUCGGCUAACUCCGUGCCAGCAGCCGCGGUAAUACGGAGGAUCCGAGCGUUAUCCGGAUUUAUUGGGUUUAAAGGGAGCGUAGAUGGAUGUUUAAGUCAGUUGUGAAAGUUUGCGGCUCAACCGUAAAAUUGCAGUUGAUACUGGAUAUCUUGAGUGCAGUUGAGGCAGGCGGAAUUCGUGGUGUAGCGGUGAAAUGCUUAGAUAUCACGAAGAACUCCGAUUGCGAAGGCAGCCUGCUAAGCUGCAACUGACAUUGAGGCUCGAAAGUGUGGGUAUCAAACAGGAUUAGAUACCCUGGUAGUCCACACGGUAAACGAUGAAUACUCGCUGUUUGCGAUAUACGGCAAGCGGCCAAGCGAAAGCGUUAAGUAUUCCACCUGGGGAGUACG